rnacentral:lncRNA from 1 species
AGCACUUGCCAGAGUGGCAGGCAUUGGGCCCAGCCAUUCCCAUUGUAAUAUGUGGACUCAGCAGUGUUCUGAGUUCCAUUUCCUGUCCCCAAGAGCAGUCAGCUCCUUGUUCUGCCCAACUUCUACUAGGCUAGCCAAAUGUGGAGCCCCUCCAUCACGGGCUGGCCAGGAGCACCUGUCGUACCAAUCAAAGUUGUUUCUUGUGGUCUUUUCCCCACCCCAAUCCUGGAGUUUGUCCUGGCAGGUCAGGAAGGAGUGUGGGCCCAGUGCCCUUCAAACAUCAGAGCUUUGGGUACUGGAUGUAACUGCUCCUUGAGUUCU